rfam:Capsicum annuum cultivar Zunla-1 chromosome 11, whole genome shotgun sequence
GGGCAAGGUCGUCUCAAUAAACAAUGACGAAUACUUGCGUUGAAGGUUGGCAAUAUAUUUGAAUAAGCGACUCUCCGUGCCUUUCAAAUAUCAUUUGGACUAUGGCCUCGAACAAAAUCGCCACAUU